CCAGACUCCUACGGGAGGCAGCGGUGAGGAAUAUUGGACAAUGGUCGGAAGACUGAUCCAGCCAUGCCGCGUGCAGGAUGAAGGUCUUAUGGAUUGUAAACUGCUUUUGUAAGGGAAGAAUAAGGGCUACGCGUAGUUUGAUGACGGUACCUUACGAAUAAGCAUCGGCUAACUCCGUGCCAGCAGCCGCGGUAAUACGGAGGAUGCGAGCGUUAUCCGGAAUCAUUGGGUUUAAAGGGUCUGUAGGCGGGCUGGUAAGUCAGAGGUGAAAGCGCUUAGCUCAACUAAGCAACUGCCUUUGAAACUGUUGGUCUUGAAUGGUUGUGAAGUAGUUGGAAUGUGUAGUGUAGCGGUGAAAUGCUUAGAUAUUACACAGAACACCGAUAGCGAAGGCAUAUUACUAACAAUUAAUUGACGCUGAUGGACGAAAGCGUGGGGAGCGAACAGGAUUAGAUACCCUGGUAGUCCACGCUGUAAACGAUGGAUACUAGCUGUUUGGUUUAAGGAUUGAGUGGCUAAGCGAAAGUGAUAAGUAUCCCACCUGGGGAGUACGUUCGCAAGAAUGAAACUCAAAGGAAUUGACGGGGGCCCGCACAAG
rnacentral:rRNA from 1 species